AAAUUGAAGAGUUUGAUCAUGGCUCAGAUUGAACGCUGGCGGCAGGCCUAACACAUGCAAGUCGAGCGGUAGCACAGAGAGCUUGCUCUCGGGUGACGAGCGGCGGACGGGUGAGUAAUGUCUGGGAAACUGCCUGAUGGAGGGGGAUAACUACUGGAAACGGUAGCUAAUACCGCAUAAUGUCGCAAGACCAAAGUGGGGGACCUUCGGGCCUCAUGCCAUCAGAUGUGCCCAGAUGGGAUUAGCUAGUAGGUGGGGUAACGGCUCACCUAGGCGACGAUCCCUAGCUGGUCUGAGAGGAUGACCAGCCACACUGGAACUGAGACACGGUCCAGACUCCUACGGGAGGCAGCAGUGGGGAAUAUUGCACAAUGGGCGCAAGCCUGAUGCAGCCAUGCCGCGUGUGUGAAGAAGGCCUUCGGGUUGUAAAGCACUUUCAGCGGGGAGGAAGGCGAUAAGGUUAAUAACCUUG
rnacentral:rRNA from 1 species